rnacentral:misc_RNA from 1 species
CCUCGAAGAGACGGGCUGGGGACAGUUGCGCAGUGGAUGUCGUCGGGGCUGUCGGUCUUCGUGAGCAACUUUGCGGGGCUAGGAUAUCGAUUUGCAGCUCGACGCCGCUGCUGAGCCUCGCCAAGAUAUCGUCUCCGUGGAACCCGACGGCGCCCGGGCCGCAGCCGCCGGCGCCGCCCGCCGGCACGGCCACGCCCACGGUCGCCGGCCACGCCAUGAGCCUGCCCGACACGCCCACCAACGGCCUGGCCAAGGAGGACCACCUCAAGCUGGCCGGCGACACCGGCAGCGUCACCUCGGAGGUCAGUGGUCGGUCCAGUGUCGGAGCGACGCCCUCAGCUGAGGCGGCCACGCUGGGGUCAAUCCGUGCUCCCUGUUUCCGUCCCGCCGUCUCGAAAAAACGCCUGCUCAGGGGUAACGUGCCAUUGCAAUGGAGAUGAAGUGAUCUGGCGAAGAAGCCGAAAGAAAUGCGCCCUUGGUGUUCUUAGCAAUCGUAGCGAUUAUCUUGGCUCGCAGUAAUCACACAGUCCCGCGCGGCGGUAGCGGGACUGCCCAGCGACAAUUUUUGUCAAUAGGAUAAUUGCCGUCUGUCUGGGCGCGGGCCACUUCCCUUUCGCGUCGCGGCGCGAAAAAUUAAGAUUGUGAAUGCCUGAUAUAGAUCUUGCUCGGUCACGCCGCCACCUGUCUUCGGAAUGAAGCCAAAGUACGGUAUUCUGCAGUGAUGGUCACGCAACAGCUUGCCGUUGCCAGCUCGGGCCGAUCCGCCACCUGCCUUGGCGUGGGAAAGCACGCCCAUCGCUGAUUCCGUGCCUGGCGUGCUGGAUCGGAGAUUCAGGGCCGGGGCGGUGCCUGAUCUGCAAUCUUCAUCUCGUCAUUUGUUAAUAGGUAGCUGAUGCUGCGGUCGGCCGGUCAUGUCGGGUCAAAUGAGGGUCAUGUCGGGUCAAACGAGGGUCA